GACAGAGGGUGCAAACGUUGUUCGGAAUUACUGGGCGUAAAGCGCGUGUAGGCUGUUCGGAAAGUCGGAUGUGAAAGCCCUGGGCUCAACCCAGGAAGUGCAUUCGAAACUCCCGAACUGAGUCCUGGAGAGGAAGGCGGAAUUCUCGGUGUAGAGGUGAAAUUCGUAGAUAUCGAGAGGAACAUCGGUGGCGAAGGCGGCCUUCUGGACAGUGACUGACGCUGAGACGCGAAAGCGUGGGGAGCAAACAGG
rnacentral:rRNA from 1 species